rnacentral:tRNA from 1 species
GGUCUUUUAGCUCAGCUGGAUAGAGCGUCUCCCUCCUAAGGAGAAGGUCGGCAGUUCGAACCCGCCAAGGGCCA